UGUUGUUUUUAACACAAACGUAGCUAGCUAAUGCAUAAGUUAUACGUUAGCUAGCUAUCUAGCUUGAGUCACGGUGUACGCAUAAGGUUAGCUAACUAAACGUAUUUAUAGCUAAUUACAUGUGGUAGUUUGUGAAUUAAAGUAUUACCAUUCGCUGGUUUUUGCCUUGAAAAAUGAAACCCGUAGCUAAUGUAGCUAUGGCAUUAAACACGAUAUGUAAAUUAUAUGCCUCAUAUUAACUCCAGUUUUGAAGUUUAUUAAAUAUGUAAUAACUAGCUACCCAGUAAGAGUAAGUAAGAGAUUCCCAUGCAUCACCAUAUUGCUACAUUGCUAAUCUAUGGUAACUAACGUUAGCUCGCCAACUUCCGUGAUUCAAUCUGUUCCAACAAGUCAUGGUGCAGGUUCUUAUGAGCUAAAUUGGUGAUUUUAGUGAAGUUAGGUAAUGUGGUGUCAUUUCGCUUUUGAGAUUGUGAAUGUGUAAUUACGACUGGAGUUCUCAGAGUGGCAGCAUUGCCUUGAAUAUUGACGAUGCGGAAUAUCACUACAGCUACAUAGCAUCCCCAGUGACUUGGGGCUCUGCGGAAAACAAUCACAAGGCCUUUCAUGAAGACCAUUUCUUGGGUGAACAGCACAAUCCAGAACAUGAUGUCAAUGUACUUCUUGGAAAUCGGGGGGACGAUGAGGUUAAGAAGCUCAGUCCAGAUGAACAGAGGAGGAGGAUGGUGGAAAUUGUGAAGAAGAUUGAUAUGGAUGCAGACAAACUUUUGUCAGCAGAGGAGAUCACACUCUGGAUACAGCAGGUUUACAGGCAAUACGCACUGGAAGAUGCAGGGGAAAGGUUCCCUGAAUUUGACACAAAUAAAGAUGGCGUGGUAUCGUGGGACGAGUAUAACACUGUUGUACACGGGCACAGCAUUGACUUGGACAACAACACAGUUCUUGAGGACCCAGAAGAAGAAUCUGUCCGACUUCUGCAUUUAAAGGAAAAGAGGCGCUUUGAUUUUGCUGACGGAGACGGUAUCCCGGGCCUGAAUCUAAGGGAAUUUUUAGCAUUUACACAUCCAUCUGAAGUGGAUGAAAUGGCUGAUUUCACCAUUGAAGAUGUCUUGAAUGAAUUUGACAAGGACAACGAUGGGUUGAUCAGCCUCAAGGAAUUUCUUGGAGACAUUCGGCCCAAUGCUGAAGACACGCCAUCACAGUGGGAGAUCGAGGAAACCAUUAGAUUCCAGCAACUGUAUGACCAGGACAAAGACGGUCAACUGAACCGGGAUGAGCAGCUCCGCUGGGUGGCUCCAAACAGUUACACUUCUGCUAGAGAGGAGCACUGCUUAGUUCCUGUUCAUUGUUUUGACUGGAUACUUCACCACUGAAGUGAAGUCCCUUGCUCAAGGGUACAGCAGCUGUUGUCAAGCUGGGAUUCAGACCUGCGACAUUCUGAAUACAAGGCAAUCCACUUGAUCAAGGAAAUGGACCAAAAUGAAGAUGGCAGGCUCUCAGAGGCUGAGAUACUGAGAAAUAUGCAGCUUUUCAUGAGUAGUGAAGUAACUGACUAUGGACGGCAACUCCAGACCACACAUGAUGAAUUGUAAUGUUUAGUAACUUUUUAAACAAAUCAAUAUAAAUGAUUUUACCACUACAA